AACGAACGCUGGCGGCAUGCCUAACGCAUGCAAGUCGAACGGGAUCCAGGCUUCGGCCUGGUGAGAGUGGCGGACGGGUGAGUAACACGUGGGAACCUGCCUUUUGGUUCGGGAUAACCGCGGGAAACUGCGGCUAAUACCGGAUGCUCCCGAGAGGGGAAAGAUUUAUCGCCAGAAGAGGGGCCCGCGUCCGAUUAGGUAGUUGGUGAGGUAAUGGCUCACCAAGCCGACGAUCGGUAGCUGGUCUGAGAGGAUGAUCAGCCACACUGGGACUGAGAUACGGCCCAGACUCCUACGGGAGGCAGCAGUGGGGAAUAUUGGACAAUGGGGGCAACCCUGAUCCAGCAAUGCCGCGUGAGUGAUGAAGGCCUUAGGGUUGUAAAGCUCUUUUGCCAGGGAAGAUGAUGACUGUACCUGGAGAAUAAGCCCCGGCUAACUUCGUGCCAGCAGCCGCGGUAAU
rnacentral:rRNA from 1 species